GACGUAGGGCGCGAGCGUUGUCCGGAUUUAUUGGGCGUAAAGAGCUCGUAGGCGGCUUGUCGCGUCGACUGUGAAAUCCCGCGGCUCAACCGCGGGUCUGCAGUCGAUACGGGCAGGCUAGAGUUCGGUAGGGGAGACUGGAAUUCCUGGUGUAGCGGUGAAAUGCGCAGAUAUCAGGAGGAACACCGAUGGCGAAGGCAGGUCUCUGGGCCGGAUACUGACGCUGAGGAGCGAAAGCGUGGGGAGCGAACAGG
rnacentral:rRNA from 1 species